rnacentral:rRNA from 1 species
AUUGAACGCUGGCGGAAUGCUUUACACAUGCAAGUCGGGCGGCAGCGCGGGGGCAACCCUGGCGGCGAGCGGCGAACGGGUGAGUAACACAUCGGAACGUACCCUGUCGUGGGGGAUAACGAAUCGAAAGAUUCGCUAAUACCGCAUACGACCUGAGGGUGAAAGCGGGGGAUCGCAAGACCUCGCGCGAGAGGAGCGGCCGAUGGCGGAUUAGCUAGUUGGUGGGGUAAAGGCCCACCAAGGCGACGAUCCGUAGCGGGUCUGAGAGGACGGCCCGCCACACUGGGACUGAGACACGGCCCAGACUCCUACGGGAGGCAGCAGUGGGGAAUUUUGGACAAUGGAGGCAACCCUGAUCCAGCCAUUCCGCGUGAGUGAAGAAGGCCU